GACGAACGCUGGCGGCGUGCUUAACACAUGCAAGUCGAACGAUGAAGCCGGAGCUUGCUCCGGUGAAUUAGUGGCGAACGGGUGAGUAACACGUGAGUAACCUGCCCUUGACUCUGGGAUAACUGCGGGAAACUGUAGCUGAUACCGGAUACGACCCUCGGAGGCAUCUCCUGGGGGUGGAAAGAAUUUCGGUCAAGGAUGGACUCGCGGCCUAUCAGCUAGUUGGUGAGGUAAAGGCUCACCAAGGCGACGACGGGUAGCCGGCCUGAGAGGGUGACCGGCCACACUGGGACUGAGACACGGCCCCGACUCCUACGGGAGGCAGCAGUGGGGAAUAUUGCACAAUGGGCGCAAGCCUGAUGCAGCAACGCCGCGUGAGGGAUGACGGCCUUCGGGUUGUAAACCUCUUUUAGCAGGGAAGAAGCGAAAGUGACGGUACCUGCAGAAAAAGCACCGGCUAACUACGUGCCAGCAGCCGCAGUAA
rnacentral:rRNA from 1 species